UACAGAGGUCUCAAGCGUUGUUCGGAUUCAUUGGGCGUAAAGGGCGCGCAGGUGGUUCUGUAUGUCUGCCGUGAAAGCAUACAGCUCAACUGUAUUGUGUCGGUAGAAACUGCAGGACUUGAGGCUGGGAGGGGCUGGUGGAAUUCCCUGUGUAGCGGUGAAAUGCGUAGAGAUGGGGGAGAACACUCGUGGCGAAGGCGGCCAGCUAGACCAGUUCUGACACUGAGGCGCGACAGCGUGGGGAGCAAACAGG
rnacentral:rRNA from 1 species